rnacentral:rRNA from 1 species
UACGAAGGGGGCUAGCGUUGUUCGGAAUUACUGGGCGUAAAGCGCGCGUAGGCGGAUUGUUUAGUUGGGGGUGAAAUCCCGGAGCUCAACUCCGGAACUGCCUUCAAUACUGGCAAUCUAGAGUCCGAGAGAGGUGAGUGGAACUCCUAGUGUAGAGGUGAAAUUCGUAGAUAUUCGGAGGAACACCAGUGGCGAAGGCGGCUCACUGGCUCGAUACUGACGCUGAGGUGCGAAAGCGUGGGGAGCAAACAGG